UGUAGGCGAGAGGUAUACACAGACACCGCAGCGGGGAAACACAUGGUUAGUGAAGUCGCGAUGCAGCAUUUUCGUCAGGCGAGGAGCGUCUGGCGGAGCUCGAUGCUGGGCGUCAAGGACGGCACUGGCUGUUGGCACACUGCACGCCGUCCCCGAUGAUGGACGUGGCGUUCGCCGCCACGACUAUGGACACCUACGAAGACAUGUUCAAGGAGAUAACCCGCAAGCUGUACGGCGAGGAGGCGGACGUGGAGACGGGCGGCAACGGGAGCGGCGGAGGCGGAGGCGGGGGCGGGGGCGGCAGCGGCGGGGUCGGCUC